rnacentral:lncRNA from 1 species
CAUUUUCAGAUUUGACAUCUCACUUGCUUCAAUUUCCAAAAUCCACCAUGAGACUCCCUGAAGGAAAUUUGGCUCAGAGCAGGAUGGCACCUGAACUGGACAAAAUCUUCUGACGUCUCCAGCUGCAGCCCUGUCCAUACUCUCAUUUACCAGUGAGAGGAAGGUGUUGCCACAUCAACUUGUCCCCUGUGGCAGUGAUAAACCCUGGCACUAAGAGCACAUGCAUGCUAUCCACAGCUGAGCUGAAAGAGUCUUAUCAAAGUCAGUGUGAAAAAUCGUUGAUGAGAAACCUUCAAAGCAUAUCUGGAAGAGCAUGAAACUGAUGGGAAAAGACCACUGUCAUUUUUAUCCAUCCUAAAUCAUUAGGUCUGAAAAAAGAUGCCCAGGACAGCA